CUCUUUAGUAUUUCUCACCACUCAAUUCCUAUAUUUUCAUGAGAGGUGUCUACACGGUCAUAUUAUUUGUUUUCUCCCUCACUUUUUUUGUCACUCUUUUUAAAGUUUUUCUCACACUUACAUAUUUUUCAUACUUUUAAUUUGCGUUUGUUUCAUAGGCGAAUUGCAAAUGGCUUAGAAGAAUUUAUUCCAAAUCUAGAGAGUCUCUGAUCUUGACAGGAACUUGAUUGAUGAGUUAGGCGAUUUAGAUCCCCUCAGCACACUGCACAAAACUCACCACACUUAGUUUAUUGUAUUGUCCGGUUACAACACAAACAGACACUAAACGCACUACAGGCUGUAUGUUGUACAAGAUUCCUCAACUGACCUUCUGGAUUUCAAGAAAAUACGACUAAAGGAAAGAGAAGAGGCUGCAGCUCUGUUCAAUAGUGAUUAUGGGAAAGAAAUGCGCAGAACCUUGGAAAAAAGAUCGAAGGCUAAACCUUUUGUUCCUGGAGCUCCUCUUAGUAGACCUGCCAACGUGGAACAUCUAAUGGUCCUUCAUCGGAACAAAUUCAGAAAAUUAGAGAAGCUAUAUUUCGAAAGCUUCAUCUUUGGAAGAAGUUGAACGACUCAAUCGACUCUUACAAGCAGGACAAAUACCUUCAAACUCUAAAAGUAAGAUAAUAUUUUUUUCUUGUCAUAUUUUUUUCUCUGCAAAAAAGUACAAAGAAAGAAAGUAGCAAAAAUUUUGUUUCAAGAUUACAUUCCAAGCACUAUCGUAACGACAAAUGAAAAUUUGUUGUGUUUUGUAAAAUUUUAGUACAAUGGUCGCACUUAAUAAAUUGAAAACCAAUCAUUUUAAACUGAGGCGUAAGCUGUGAGCCUCCAUA
rnacentral:lncRNA from 1 species